rnacentral:rRNA from 1 species
GUAGGGGAGCGUUCUGUAAGCCGUUGAAGGUGGUCUGUAAGGGCUGCUGGAGGUAUCAGAAGUGCGAAUGCUGACAUGAGUAACGAUAAAGGGAGUGAAAAACUCCCUCGCCGGAAGAACAAAGGGUUCCUGUCCAACGUUAAUCGGGGCAGGGUAAGUCGACUCCUAAGGCGAGGCCGAAAGGCGUAGUCGAUGGGAAACGGGUUAAUAUUCCCGUACUUCUUACAAUUGCGAUGGGGGGACGGAGAAGGCUAGGUGGGCCUGGCGACGGUUGUCCAGGUUCAAGUAUGUAGGCGG